UACGGGGGGGGCGAGCGUUGUUCGGAAUUACUGGGCGUAAAGGGUUCGUAGGUGGCCUGCUAAGUCAGACGUGAAAUCCCUCAGCUUAACUGGGGAACUGCGUCUGAAACUGGCGGGCUUGAGUGCAGGAGAGGAACGCGGAAUUCCAGGUGUAGCGGUGAAAUGCGUAGAUAUCUGGAGGAACACCGGUGGCGAAGGCGGCAUCCUGGACCGACACUGACGCUGAGGCGCGAAAGCUAGGGUAGCAAACGGG
rnacentral:rRNA from 1 species